AAAUUGAAGAGUUUGAUCAUGGCUCAGAUUGAACGCUGGCGGCAGGCCUAACACAUGCAAGUCGAACGGUAACAGGAAGCAGCUUGCUGCUUUGCUGACGAGUGGCGGACGGGUGAGUAAUGUCUGGGAAACUGCCUGGUGGAGGGGGAUAACUACUGGAAACGGUAGCUAAUACCGCAUAACGUCGCAAGACC
rnacentral:rRNA from 1 species